rnacentral:rRNA from 1 species
UACGGGGGGGGCAAGCGUUGUUCGGAAUUACUGGGCGUAAAGGGCUCGUAGGCGGCCAACUAAGUCAGACGUGAAAUCCCUCGGCUUAACCGGGGAACUGCGUCUGAUACUGGAUGGCUUGAGGUUGGGAGAGGGAUGCGGAAUUCCAGGUGUAGCGGUGAAAUGCGUAGAUAUCUGGAGGAACACCGGUGGCGAAGGCGGCAUCCUGGACCAAUUCUGACGCUGAGGCACGAAAGCGUGGGGAGCAAACGGG